UACGGAAGGCAGCAGUGGGGAAUAUUGCACAAUGGGCGCAAGCCUGAUGCAGCCAUGCCGCGUGUAUGAAGAAGGCCUUCGGGUUGUAAAGUACUUUCAGUCGUGAGGAAGGUGUUAAGGUUAAUAACCUUAGCAAUUGACGUUAGCGACAGAAGAAGCACCGGCUAACUUCGUGCCAGCAGCCGCGGUAAUACGGAGGGUGCGAGCGUUAAUCGGAAUUACUGGGCGUAAAGGGCACGCAGGCGGUUAAUUAAGUUGGAUGUGAAAUCCCCGGGCUUAACCUGGGAAUGGCAUUCAAGACUGGUUAGCUAGAGUCUUGUAGAGGGGGUAGAAUUCCAUGUGUAGCGGUGAAAUGCGUAGAGAUGUGGAGGAAUACCGGUGGCGAAGGCGGCCCCUGGGACAAGACUGACGCUCAUGUGCGAAAGCGUGGGGAGCAAACAGGGAUUAGAUACC
rnacentral:rRNA from 1 species